rnacentral:lncRNA from 1 species
AGGAGUCAGAGAGCACAUAUCCCUUCUCCCCAGUAGGUGAAAAACACCGAUGGCCUUCGUGUCCGUGAAGCCCCGCCGUGAAGGGAGGGCAAGUUGAAGACAUCGUCAGAUGACAAACAAAAACAGAGUUAGCUGCCGUAGGCCCUUACCGUGGAAACUACUGAAGAAUGAACCUAAGACACAAGAAAACUGAACCCAAAAGGAAAUAGGGAAAUGCAAGAAAAAAUGACAGAGUCUUG